CCUGAGAAACCCAAAAGAUCGAAUGGGGAGAUUCAUCGUCAGCGUGGCCGGCUUCCGUGCGGUUCGCGAUGGCCGGGAUCUCGGUCCCGUGUCACGCGUCCGCCGCGGUAUGUCUGGCCGCGUCGGCGUGCACUUCUCCCCUAGUAGGACGUCGCGACCCGUUGGGUGUCGGACCGAUGGCCGUUUGGUCGACUGUCUCGUCGCGUUCACGCGUGCACGCGGCAGACCGAAAUGGCCGAGCGUCCGGCUGCCCGGCGGUAUAGAACGCUAUUGAACGGUAACGAGCCGCACUAAGUGCGUUCAGGCUCGUCGGCAGGCUCGUCUCGCCCGGAUUUACGGACCUAGCGCCGUUGCCGGGUGCUUGGCGUGGCUGUUAGUCGACGAUGUCCUCGGACUGGCUCUAAAAUUCGAAAGGAUUACCGGUCGGCGACGCUACUGCUUUGGUACUUUC
rnacentral:rRNA from 1 species